rnacentral:rRNA from 1 species
UACGAAGGGAGCUAGCGUUGUUCGGAAUCACUGGGCGUAAAGCGCACGUAGGCGGAUGUGUCAGUCAGGCGUGAAAGCCCCGGGCUCAACCUGGGAAUUGCGCUUGAUACUGCGGCGCUGGAAGGUGGGAGAGGAUGGCGGAAUUCCCAGUGUAGAGGUGAAAUUCGUAGAUAUUGGGAAGAACACCGGUGGCGAAGGCGGCCAUCUGGCCCACAUUUGACGCUGAGGCGCGAAAGCGUGGGGAGCAAACAGG